rnacentral:lncRNA from 1 species
CGGAAAACAAGUGAGGCUUAAUCAAGAUAGGAGUUUAUUUCUCUCUCCCAAAAGAAGUCUGGAAGCAGGCAGGCCCGGGCUGUGACUGGGUCUUCGUGAACUAAGUCCUAAAGAUCUAGACUGGUAGCCCUCUGGCCUCCUCAGAAGAAAGAGAGAGACGGAGGACAGGCCUCUCCCUGGGAAAAACUGCCCGGAAACCCCUCACAGCACUUCUUGGAUUCCUUUGGACAGAACUUGAUCAACAUGGCAACAGCUGAAUGAAAGGGAAUUUGGAAAGUGUCAUUUUAAGUCUGGCUGGCUCUGUGCCUUCCUCAUUUCAGAGUCCCGUCCCUGACGAAGCAGGAGACACAACCAGCAGACUCUGCCACAGUCUUCGCGUAUAUAUCCCAUGUGAUGCCUUUAUCCUCAGUCCUUGGAAAGUUUUUCUCCAUGACUGCAAAAUCCUGCUUCCAAGAUGCACUGCCCCUCUCCAGGAGGUAUGGAGGGACUCAGAAUUCUCACUGCAUUAAUGAGGGGAUAUGAAAUAUUUUCCUGCUUCUCUGAGCCUGUGGUUAGAGCAGAGGUCCCCAGUGCCUGAGCCACGGAUCAG